rnacentral:rRNA from 1 species
AGAGUUUGAUCCUGGCUCAGGAUGAACGCUAGCGGCAGGCCUAACACAUGCAAGUCGAGGGGUAAGGUUCAGCUUGCUGAACACACGACCGGCGCACGGGUGAGUAACGCGUUUGUAAUCUACCUCUAACUGGGGCAUAGCCCGAAGAAAUUCGGAUUAAUACCCCAUAACAUCAUAAAAGGACAUCCUUUAAUGAUUAAAGCUCCGGCGGUUAGAGAUGAGCAUGCGUGUCAUUAGCUUGUUGGUGAGGUAACGGCUCACCAAGGCAACGAUGACUAGGGGGUCUGAGAGGAUGAUCCCCCACACUGGUACUGAGACACGGACCAGACUCCUACGGGAGGCAGCAGUGAGGAAUAUUGGGCAAUGGGCGAAAGCCUGACCCAGCCAUGCCGCGUGAAGGAUGAAUGCCCUAUGGGUUGUAAACUUCUUUUGUAAGGGAAGAAUGGUUCCUACGUGUAGGAAUUUNACGGUACCUUAUGAAUAAGCACCGGCUAACUCCGUGCCAGCAGCCGCGGUAAUACGGAGGG